CUGGUAUGAGUAAGCAGUUCUUCCCUCUCAAUAAUAAUAAUAAUUCCUCCAACAGCUCAUCGUCUUGCUCGGAUGAAGUGGGGAAUCUGGAGAUGAUUGAGAAAGGGAAGAGGAGGAGGAAUAAGGUUAUUGAUGUUGGAGAAGAUGAGAGCUUGAUGGUGAAUGGUCAUCAGGAGGAGGAAGCUGCUACUCUUAGCUUGAAGCUUGGUGGUCAUGGUGGCGGAGAGAUGGUCAACUGGGAAGGAAACAGCAGUGGGAAGAAGGCUAAGUUGACUGGUGGAGGAGGUAACAACAAUAACAGCUCGUCUUCGAGUCGUGCAGUUUGUCAAG
rnacentral:lncRNA from 1 species